CAGUAGCCGCGGUAAUACGGAGGGUGCAAGCGUUAAUCGGAAUUACUGGGCGUAAAGCGCACGCAGGCGGUCUGACAAGUCAGAUGUGAAAUCCCCGGGCUUAACCUGGGAACUGCAUUUGAAACUGUCAGGCUGGAGUCUUGUAGAGGGGGGUAGAAUUCCAGGUGUAGCGGUGAAAUGCGUAGAGAUCUGGAGGAAUACCGGUGGCGAAGGCGGCCCCCUGGACAAAGACUGACGCUCAGGUGCGAAAGCGUGGGGAGCAAACAGGAUUAGAGACCCCAGUAGUCCCUGUCUCUUAUAC
rnacentral:rRNA from 1 species